GCUGCGUGUCGACCCGUGACUAAAGAAAACGUCUCCUCCAGCAUUUCGGCCACUCAAUUUCUAGAACAUUUUCGCUGUGCGUCUCCUGCAGUGAUGAGUUUGCGGAGCUGUGAGAAAGUGAGAGUGAGAACGGGAGAGUUUGAAGAUUGGUUUAUUCUGAGGAAAGCCAGAAUGGCCUCCUCAGGAGGGGUCCGUUUUCGGACCGGUGAUUUUAAAAAACUUACCCGACAACACUGAGUGAAGCUAUGCCAGAAGCGACCUGUUCUGUAGAAGAAGCUGUUUGAAAUGUGAUAGGCUGCUGUGUCGAUGUUCGUUCAGCCACAAGAAUGAGCAGUGCGCUGGUUGGGUUUGUUGCUACAACAGAUUCUGUCCAUAGAUUCACUGUAAAAAGUAAUGCGUUAAAAUUACUUAAAAAAAAAAUAAGGCAAGAAAUUACAAACAAUAUUUUUGUGU